UACGAAGGGUGCAAGCGUUACUCGGAAUUACUGGGCGUAAAGCGUGCGUAGGCGGUUUGUUAAGUCCGUUGUGAAAGCCCUGGGCUCAACCUGGGAAUUGCAGUGGAUACUGGCGAGCUAGAGUGCGGUAGAGGAUGGUGAAAUUCCCGGUGUAGCGGUGAAAUGCGUAGAGAUCGGGAGGAACACCCGUGGCGAAGGCGGCCAUCUGGACCAGCACUGACGCUGAGGCACGAAAGCGUGGGGAGCAAACAGG
rnacentral:rRNA from 1 species